rnacentral:misc_RNA from 1 species
AACUGAUACUACCUGCGGGAACCUGCGGAGGGAUCAUUAUCUAUUUUAACGGUGUUGGUUGCGGCCUCCGGGGCGUCGUAGGACCCCCGGGCGGUAGAGGUAACACUUUCACGCGCCACAUGCCUUAAUCCUUUUUUUACGAGCACCUUUCGUUCUCCUUCGGUGGGGCAACCUGCCGCUGGAACCUACCAAAAACCUUUUUUUGCAUCUAGCAUUACCUGUUCUGAUACAAACAAUCGU